AGUGAACGCUGGCGGUAUGCUUAACACAUGCAAGUCGAACGGCAGCGCAGUAUUAGGGGGCUCUUAGGGUGGCGAAGGGGCGAAUAGUUCGUGAGUACAUCGGAAUCUACUUUGGCAUGGGGGAUGAAGUCGGGAAACUUACGCGAAUACCACAUACGACCUACGGGUGAAAGCUGGGGAUCUUCGGACCUUGCGCGAGGGAAUGAGCCGAUGUCGGAUUAGCUAGUUGGCGGGGUAAAGGCCCACCAAGGCGACGAUCCGUAGCGGGUCGGAGAGGAUGAACCGCCACACUGGAACUGAGACACGGCCUAGACUCCUACGGGAGGCAGCAGUGCGGACUAUUGGAAAAUGGGCGCAAGCCUGCUCCAGCCAUACAGCCUGGGUGCAGAAGGCCUUCGGGUUGUAAAGCCCUUUUGGUGGGAAAGACAAGCAGCAGGUUAAUACCACGCUGUUCUGACGGUACCCAAAGAAUAAGCACCGGCUAACUUCGUG
rnacentral:rRNA from 1 species